AUAUUAAGAACUGCAUAUAGAUAACACAUCACUUUUAAUUGCUGUGCUAUCUGUAUGCAUUAUAAGCUUUCCGUGUGUAUGUUCACGCCGCGUCAAAUACCACGCGAUUAGCAGUACUGGAUAUAUAAACA